UGCUCAGGCCACCCCUUCUGCUUAGAACAGCCUGCUCCUUGAUGUUCCCACAACUUACUGACUUUUCUAAACCCACCACAAAUCCAGCAUUUCUUGAACUGCUUCCUGCCUUGAAGAUCCACUCACUGCAUCAUUACAUUCCAAGGAACCCAACCAUCCUCUGUGUGUACAUUAGUUGUCUAGGUGAUAGUGCUAUCUAUAUAUUACUCAGGUGAUUUACUUAUUAGCACUUUGUUCUCACUUUUAGAAGCAUGUCCUCUAAUGCACCUGUGGAAAGAAUGGUAAGGAGGGAAGAAAAGCAGAAUGUGGGUUUUAUAAUACCUUGUCCUGUUAUCUAGGCUGCCAUAUGUGAACAGAUGCCUUCCUCUGUGGUAUGCAGAGUUGGUUUUGGUCUCCCUAAUAACAUACUCUUUGCAAGUUUGAUUGGCCAACAGUAGUAUCAUAGAGUUUCAUAAGACAGUUUCUCCAGGAAGUUUUGGGUAUACAGAUAUUAACAACUAUUGAGGAUUUUUCUUGGAAGAACAUAAAAUUCUGAGUAGUAUUGAUCGCCAGAAAAAAACUUUAAAAUCCUUUCUUUCACUCUGUAAUUAAUACAGCAUCUUAAAUAGGAAGGAGUAAACUUUAUGAUUUCAAGCUUUAAAUAUUUGUUGCUUGGAAAAUUAAAAGUCUAAAUUUGUAAUUUAUUUUACAUUGCAAUUUAUAGAUCACCAAGUAGAACGUUAAUUCAUUCUCAGAAUGGCAAAUAUCCCAUCUUAAGUGAGUAAUGGAACAGCAAAAUUCCAUGCCAAAUUCACUGGCAUAUGUAUAAUUGACCUACAGUGAUGCUGUGUUCUUAACUAAUGUGACAUGCCAGAAAUGAGGGCUUACUUUGGAAACCUAAAAAAUCCAAUACACGCAACACUGACUGUGUUCAUUUCAUUCCAUUAAAAAAAAAAUCUAUUGGCACUUAUAUGUCAAAAUGGGCUUGUCGAAACUUUGCAAAAGAUGAACAUUUUUCUCAAAGCUUUACAAUCUAAGAUACUUUUAGUUCUAAAUGUGAACACAUGGUGGAUUUUUAAAGAAUUGUUUCAUGUCCACAGGGAAGUGAGCAGAGAAUUUCAUAACAGUUCUAUUCAUCUGCUCAAGCUUGGCAGUCACUCCCCAUCAAGAGUGGUCAAGCAAAGAGGCUGUCCACACUGUGUGUUUUUGCUAACACCAGUGUUGAUAACACUUAAUUUGAAAACAGGCUUUUGCUUUAGAAGCCACCUGUUUCUGGUUGGCCUAAAUAUAACUCCCACAGUGGCCUCAGGCUGAGUUCCUCCUGGACCAGAGUUGGCCCAGAGACCUGAAGUCCAUUUAGGCUCAUUGAGAUGUGGAGAGACGCGCCGCCUGACGUAACUAAGACUUUAUUACAUUCUCCCACGUCCCCCAUGUUAACCAGAAUAAAGUGACAUUUUCGCUAGUUGUCACCACUCUCCUCCAAAAACCAAACUUUUAAUUUAGUACGAAAAGUUGAGUGGCUCCUUCAGUAUUCGUCUCUUGAAAUAAAAUAAUUCCAACUUCCCUAACCACAGAGUUGUAUGUUCUGGCCUUAUUAGCGUUAUUGCUGUAACCUAAACCCCUCCAGUCCAUCUUGAGUCUCUGGUUGUGGAACCUACAAGACGGUGCUUGAGGAAAGGGUGGGCCAGCCCGAGUAUGAGCCCUUCUAGGAAUGUGACAUGGGGCAAGUCACUUACCUCUCUCUGUCCCCAGUUUGCCCCUCUAAAUUACCCCUCUAGAUUAAAUGAGAUGAUUUUGUUACAGAAAGCAUCCAGCAUUGUGUCUCAAGCACAGAUGCCUAGAAUACUACUUUCCCUUUCUUUCCCCGGUCAUUGCUAUAGUGAAAAGUCAGUUUCCUAUAACUACACCGUCUGAUGGGAUCAUCGCCAGCCACUAAUGGCUCUGUAUAUUUAAAUCAGUUAAAAUUACAUAAAACUUAAAAUUCAGUUCUUCAACUACACUAACCACAUUUCAAGCUUUCCAUAGUCACUUGUAGCGAGUGGCCACCCCAUUGGACUGUGUGGACAUAGAACAUCUCCAUCAGAAAGUCCUAUUGCAUAGCGCUCAUUACCUUAUUCUCUUGGAUUUCAAGACUUCCAAACCCAUCCAUGUCAGUCUCUACCUAAACUAUGGCAUGUGAAGUUUUUUCUUGAUAACCAGAAUAAAUGCAGAACGAUUACAUUUAGAGAAGCUAAACAACAAGGUCUUACUGUAGAGCACAGGGAACUAGAGCCAGUCUCCUGGGAGAGACCAUGAUGGAAAAUAUUAAAAAACUGAGUCAUUUUGCUUUGUAGCAGAAAUUGGCAUGAUACUGUAAAUCAGCUAUAAUUUUUAAAAAAAUUUUAAAAAGAAAGAAAGCUGGCAAGGCAGUCUCUCUGCUGCCAGCUUCCUGGGCCAAAACAGAAAAAUAAAAAUAAAUGCAGCCAUUCUCUGUCAUAUCUCCCUUCUUUUUUUUUUUUUUGUCUUUUUAGGGCCAUACCUGUGGCAUAUGGAGAUUCCCAGGCUAGGGGUCCAAUCAGAGCUAUAGCCGCCGGCCUACACCACAGCCACAGCAACUCGGGAUCCGAGCUGCGUCUGUGACCUACACCACUGCUCAUGGCAAUGCUGGAUCCUUAACCCACUGAGCAAGGCCAGGGAUCAAACCGGCAUCCCCAUGAAUCCUAGUCAGGUUCAUUAAGCGCUGAGCCAUGAAGGGAACUCCAUUAUCUGUCAUAUCUCUUUUAGAAGGAACCUUCUCUCCAGCUAUACAUCUCAGAGAACUCAGUCUCAUUGGAUUUAGCUAGAAAUGCCUCUCCUUAUUCUCACAGAUUCAUAAAACAGUCCUUAGCUGUCCCACCUCAGCCUAGACCUGCAUCUAGGACCCUCAGCAGUGCCCCUGUCCUGCCCCUUGAGAGUCUGGUGGUGUUUAAGAAACACACUGAAAGCUCCAACCUUGGUCAUUUUUCCCAAAACAAAAGGCCAUCUGUGGGGACUUGCUACAGCCAGUGUGAGCCUUGGGUAACUUAUGGGCCCAAUGUUUGGGACUUGGUGAAUUCCCCCAUGAAUCCCAAGCACCGUCCAGGGAGAGAUCAGGAUGGAGUGAGCAGGGCCUUUGUUCUUUCCAUCACUAGCAAACCAUCUCCCUCCAGGGGUUUCAGGAGAGAUGUUGUGGGCCAUGGACAAAGCAUGGAAAAUGUGCAGUGUUGAACCAAAAUGGAAGCCAAGAGGUCAUCUGGAGCAUGUGCGAAGCAGUCCCAAAGAACCAGGUGAGCUAUGUUUUCUUCAUGAGCGUUCCUAGUCAAUAGCCAAGCUUGGAGAGAAGGUCACAUGGGAGCUUUGGUUAAAGAGCUUUCAGUGGAUAUGGAUAGUCAAGGAUUGAUCAUCCAUAUUCUCCCAAUUCUCCCGACCGUCACCUGUGCCAAGGAGAAGAAAAGGGAAUAUAGAGUCACAUUUUCUGAGUUGCCAAUAGCUCCAAUAAAUUCAAGGUUAAUAAGGCUAAAAGUAAUAGCUAAGAUUUUACUUAAUGGUCCAGCAUUUCUAGUCUCUACCAUCCCUUCUCAUCAUUCGUGAAAAGAAAUCCACAGUGGAUUGCAUUCUUUUCAAGAUGAUAUCUAAAUUUUUUAAGUUAAUAAUUGCAGUCACAUACAUUACUAUGAGGUGCUUUACAUAUAUGAAGAUAUUAGUGCAUGUGAGCCUCACCAACAACUCUGUGAGAGAGGAGGUGCCCCAAGCACCGGGUGGUGCCAGGUAAAUGGCCUCAGCUCACACCUUGCAGCUGCGCCUCAAACCAGGCAGCCUGGCUCCAAGUCUGCACUAUGAGCUUCUGUGCUGUCUGCACGUGAAAAAUAGAAAUGAACCAAAGACUCAUGAUUGGAGCUAUCUCCUUCCACUGGUAUCAGUUCCUGACUCUCCUUCAGGAGACAUUCUGAUAUGAACUUCAGCAUCCAGAGAGGAGGAGUGGCAGCGGUAUUACAUCACGUGAUUCUUGCUCACCUAUAUAGAGGGGAUGUUUUCGUCCUUUCUAGUCAUUGACAUCAACAACUUUGCUCUCCAGGCCCCCAUUGGGUACUUGAGCCUUUGCAAGAGAUCCCAUCCAUCCCUGGUUGUGAUGGAGCCAUAGCCUGGGUCCCAGCUUCUUCCCAUAGGGUCUUUUCUCCCUCACACUCCUCCUGAGUCUGCCCUUCUUAGAGAAGAGCCUAAGAGCUCCCAUUCGGCCUGGGAGCAGUCAUUUCUCAUCUGGGCUCACAGCUUGGCCUGGCCCCUGUGGCUGGAGAGGUUUCAAGCCGUGCUGGUCUCCAAGACCCCACCAACAGCUCCCUUCGCCAGCUGGUUCAGCCCAGAGUUGGUGGCAUCUGCCAAAGUGGUCUUCUUAGGUGGGAGGCAGCUGAGGCGUCCCCUGUCCUGGCAGGAGCAGACCCCCCACAGUACAACGUUAUGUAUCUCUGGUUCCUGCCAGGAGUAUCUGCUUCAGCAACCCAUUAGGAACUUUUCAAUUGGGGCAGCAAAAUCAUGCUUCAGUUGGGGUUAAACAAUGAAUUUGGCUUAUUGCUUCCUCCAACUAAACAGUCUGGAUAGGGCAGGCUUCAGGUAGGUCAUGAGCCAGCAGGUCAGUAAUAUCCCCAAGGCUCUGCCAUCACCCUGAGGCCCACUCUCCUGAAGAUAGCAAGAUGAUACCAGCAGCUUCUGGGGCCACAGUCAGAGCAAGGGAGGGAAGAUCAUGCUCUCUCAGAAGAGCGAGAGAGCUUCUCUCCAAGACCCCACCAACACCUCCUUAUGUUUUGCUUUCUGUGGGGUCAGGGUAUUCAGGAUGGCUGUUCUCCUGCCAUAGGCACUUGGAUGUCACUCCAGGACCUUCUUCUUCAGACUUGUAAGAUCUUCAGUCAAAUAAACCAUUCAUGUCUCUGUCACUAUAUCCCUGCCCUUUCUUCAGUCUCAUGACUGAACAGUUACAAGGCUUGCAGGCCUGUGAGGUGAAGCCCAAAGCUUGUCUAAGUAGGUCCUGAGUCUAUUCCUGAGCCCCCACAAUGAGCAGGGGAGUGAGGGUGGAGGGGGAGCCCAUAGAUAUUAGUCAGGUUCUUAACCCACUGAGCCACAACAGGAACUCUUAUAAUUGCUAAUUUCUUAUGGACCUCUUCAGACAUCUUUGCACAUUUCCACAUUUAUGUAUGCAUUCAUGUGUGUGUCCUUUGUUUCUUUUUAAACAGCACACAAGUUGCCCAACUCUAUACCUUACUGACAUUAUAGCUUAGAGAUGGUUCAGUAUCUACACACUUGGAUCUCCUUCCUUGAUGGCUGCAUAAUAUCCCGCUAGAGGGGGGUACCUAAUUAUCAACCAUGAGAGUUAGAUUUCUCUUUAACCUUUUACUUUGCAGUCUUUCCUUUUCUUUUUUCUUUUUUUUUUUUUUUUUUUUUUUUUUUUUUGCUUUUUAGAGCUGUACCUGUGGCAUAUGGAAGUUCCAGGCUAGGGGUCAAAUCGGAGAUACAGCUGCUGGCCUGUGCCACAGCCAUGCAGAAUCCAAGCCACACGUGCAACCUACACCACAGCUCAGGGUAGCACAAGAUCCUUAACCCACUGAGCAAGGGCAGGGAUGGAACCUGCAUCCUCACGGAUCCUAGUCAGGUUCAUUAACCACUGAGCUGCAAAGGGAACUCCUCAUUCUUUCCUAAAAUUUGUAUUGAUGCCUGUGGUGUGCUAGGCACUGUUCUAGAGACAGCUGAAAAUGAGAUAUUUGAGGCAUUUACAGUCCACAUGCUGAGAGGAACACUCAUACAUCUUUGGGUACAUGUGUGAAUUUAUAAUUUCUAUAAACUCUAGAGAUAGAAUUGCUGGGUCCAAAGGUUUAUGCAUUGCUAAUUUUGAUAGAUAUUGCAGAUAGUCCAAGAAGAUGUAUCAAUUUCCUGUCACUAUGUACUGAAUCCUAUCAUACAAUUUAAAGUGACUAAUUUU
rnacentral:lncRNA from 1 species